GGGGAAUAUUGCGCAAUGGGCGGAAGCCUGACGCAGCGACGCCGCGUGGGGGAUGACGGCCUUCGGGUUGUAAACCUCUUUCAGCAGGGACGAAGGUGACGUGUACCUGCAGAAGAAGCGCCGGCUAACUACGUGCCAGCAGCCGCGGUAAUACGUAGGGCGCAAGCGUUGUCCGGAAUUAUUGGGCGUAAAGAGCUCGUAGGUGGCUGGUCGCGUCUGCCGUGAAAGCCCGCAGCUUAACUGCGGGUCUGCGGUGGAUACGGGCCGGCUGGAGGUAGGCAGGGGCAAGUGGAAUUCCUGGUGUAGCGGUGAAAUGCGCAGAUAUCAGGAGGAACACCGGUGGCGAAGGCGGCUUGCUGGGCCUUACCUGACGCUGAGGAGCGAAAGCGUGGGGAGCGAAC
rnacentral:rRNA from 1 species